rnacentral:sRNA from 1 species
AUAUAAACCCGACAGCAGCGGAAAUACUUUUUAGGUUAACUAACGCCAAAGUUAACCGUGGCGAGCCCUAAAAAGAUUGUAGCGUAUGGCGGGGCCACAC